CCUACGUGAGGCAGCAGUGAGGAAUAUUGGUCAAUGGGCGCGAGCCUGAACCAGCCAAGUAGCGUGAAGGAUGACUGCCCUACGGGUUGUACACUUCUUUUCUCAAGGCAUAAAGUGAGGCACGUGUGCCUUUUUGUAUGUACUUUCUGAAUAAGGAUCGGCUAACUCCGUGCCAGCAGCCGUGGUAAUACGGAGGAUCCGCGCGUUAUCCGGAUUUAUUGGGUUUAAAGGGAGCGUAGAUGGGUUGUUAAAUCAGUUGUGACAGUGUGCGGCUAAACCGUAAAAUUGCAAUUGAUACUGGCAGUCUUGAGUACAGUUGAGGUAGGCGGAAUUCGUGGUGUAGCGGUGAAAUGCUUAGAUAUCACGAAGAACUCCGAUUGCGAAGGCAGCUUACUAAACUUCCACUGACAUUGAUGCUCGAAAGUGUGGGUAUCAAACAGGAUUAGAUACCCUUGUAGUC
rnacentral:rRNA from 1 species